rnacentral:rRNA from 1 species
AGAGUUUGAUCCUGGCUCAGAGCGAACGCUGGCGGCGUGCUUAACACAUGCAAGUCGAGUGCGCAGCUUUCUGUAGCAAUACAGGGAGUGGGCGCACGGCGCACGGGUGCGUAACACGUGGGCAACAUGCCCUUGGAUGGGGAAUAACCCCGCGAAAGCGGGGCUAAUACCGCAUAACAUUCCUGGAACCUUGAUUUCGGGACUCAAAGCCGUAAGGCGUCCGAGGAGUGGCCCGCGCACGAUUAGCUAGUUGGCGAGGUAACGGCUCACCAAGGCGGUGAUCGUUAGCCGGUCUGAGAGGAUGGCCGGCCACACUGGAACUGAGACACGGUCCAGACUCCUACGGGAGGCAGCAGUGGGGAAUAUUGCGCAAUGGGCGAAAGCCUGACGCAGCGACGCCGCGUGGGGGAUGAAGCUUCUCGGAGUGUAAACCCCUUUCGACCCGGACGAAUGCCCCGCAAGGGGAGGGACGGUACGGGUAUAAGAAGCCCCGGCUAACUACGUGCCAGCAGCCGCGGUAAUACGUAGGGGGCCAGCGUUGCUCGGAAUAACUGGGCGUAAAGGGUUCGUAGGCGGUGCGGAAAGUUGGGAGUGAAAUCUCUGGGCUUAACUCAGGGACUGCUUUCAAAACUUCCGUGCUCGAGUGCGAGAGAGGCAAGUGGAAUUGCAGGUGUAGCGGUGAAAUGCGUAGAUAUCUGCAGGAACACCCGUGGCGAAGGCGGCUUGCUGGAUCGCAACUGACGCUGAGGAACGAAAGCUAGGGGAGCAAACAGGAUUAGAUACCCUGGUAGUCCUAGCCCUAAACGAUCAGAACUUGGGGUGCAUCCCGUUGGGGGUGCGUCUCGUAGCUAACGCGUUAAGUUCUGCGCCUGGGGAGUACGGUCGCAAGACUGAAACUCAAAGGAAUUGACGGGGGCCCGCACAAGCGGUGGAACAUGUGGUUCAAUUCGACGCAACGCGAAGAACCUUACCUGGGCUUGAACUGCACCGGAC